rnacentral:rRNA from 1 species
GAUGAACGCUGGCGGCGUGCUUAACACAUGCAAGUCGAACGGUGAAGCAUAGCUUCAUCUGUGGAUCCGUGGCGAACGGGUGAGUAACACGUGAGCAACUUGCCUCUGACACUGGGAUAAGCGCUGGAAACGGCGUCUAAUACUGGAUAUGAGCUGUGACCGCCUGGUCUGCUGUUUGAAAGAUUACUCGUUCUGGGAUGGUCUCACGGCCUAUCCGCGUGUUAGUGAGGUAAUGGCUCACCAAGGCGUCGACGGGUAGCCCGGCUGAGAGGGUGACCAGGCACACUGGGACUGUGACACGCCGCAGUCUCCUACGGGGGGGAGAGGUGGGGAGAAUAGCACAAUGGGCGGGAGCCUGAUGCAGAGACGCCGCGUGAGGAAGAACGGCCUUCGGGGUGUAAACCGCUUUUAGCAGAGAAGAAGCGAAAGUGACGGUACCUGCAGAAGAAGCGCCGGCUAACUACGUG